rnacentral:rRNA from 1 species
UACAGAGGGGGCAAACGUUGCUCGGAAUUAUUGGGCGUAAAGCGCGCGUAGGCGGCCGCUUAAGUCGGAUGUGAAAGCCCCUGGCUCAACUGGGGAAGUGCACCCGAAACUGAGUGGCUUGAGUACUAAAGAGGGUCGCGGAAUUCCCGGUGUAGAGGUGAAAUUCGUAGAUAUCGGGAGGAACACCGGUGGCGAAGGCGGCGACCUGGGUAGAUACUGACGCUGAGGCGCGAAAGCGUGGGGAGCAAACAGG